CGCCGAUGGAGGGGGAUAACUACUGGAAACGGUAGCUAAUACCGCAUAACGUCGCAAGACCAAAGAGGGGGACCUUGGGCCUCUUGCCAUCGGAUGUGCCCAGAUGGGAUUAGCUAGUAGGUGGGGUAAAGGCUCACCUAGGCGACGAUCCCUAGCUGGUCUGAGAGGAUGACCAGCCACACUGGAACUGAGACACGGUCCAG
rnacentral:rRNA from 1 species